CCCUUAGAUGUCCUGGGCCGCACGCGUGUUACACUGAUGCAUACAGCGAGUACUCCCAGCUCCGAGAGGCUGCUGGUAAUCAGCAAUAUGCAUCGUGAUGGGGAUAGAUCUUUGGAAUUAUAGAUCUUGAACGAGGAAUUCCUAGUAAUCGCAGGUCAUCACCCUGCGUUGACUAAGUCCCUGCCCUUUGUACACACCGCCCGUCGCUCCUACCGAUUUCGAGUGAUCCGGUGAAUCAUUCGGACCGCGGCCCCUAGGCAUGCGGAAAGUCUAGUAAACCAUAUCACUUAGAGGAAGGAGAAGUCGUAACA
rnacentral:rRNA from 1 species